UACGUAGGGGGCGAGCGUUGUCCGGAUUUAUUGGGCGUAAAGAGCUCGUAGGCGGUUUGUCGCGUCUGCUGUGAAAACUCGGGGCUUAACUCCGGGCCUGCAGUGGGUACGGGCAGACUAGAGUGCGGUAGGGGAGACUGGAAUUCCUGGUGUAGCGGUGAAAUGCGCAGAUAUCAGGAGGAACACCGGUGGCGAAGGCGGGUCUCUGGGCCGUAACUGACGCUGAGGAGCGAAAGCGUGGGGAGCGAACAGG
rnacentral:rRNA from 1 species